AUACUUACCUGGCAGGUGAGAUACUGUGAUUAUGAAGGUGGUUUUCCCAGAGUGGGGCUUAUCCAUUGCACUCUGGAUGUUCUGACCCCGUGACUUCCUCUAAUGUGGAAAACCCAAUGGCAUAAUUUGUAGUAGUGAGGAACUUCAUUUACACUCUCCCUCA
rnacentral:snRNA from 1 species